rnacentral:rRNA from 1 species
GAAAACUCGUCUCCGUGAUUGAGCGGGNCCGGAUCCCAUCAGAACUCUGAAGUAAAGCGUGCUUGAGCGAGAGUAGUAUUAGGAUGGGUGACCUCCUGGGAAGUCCUCGUGUUGCAUUCC